CUCAACCUUAUAUCAGUUUCUUAUACAUAAACUACGAUUGUGACAGGCAAAGGCAAUAAUUUAGGAGGACGAAUGGGAAAUGCCUGGUCUGGGGAAAGCACCAUCCAAGGUGGGGCUUAGUUUGUAACUUCCAUUAUGUGCCGGAAAUCCUGGGAGCCUUCUUCUGGACCGUACCAGCUCUGUUCGACCAUGAGGGACGAUGACAAAUGCAAAACAAAGUGAGCACACAUCAUCAUCUUCACAUAUAGAUGUCAUAUCUGAUCCAUUAGAAGCAUGUCUCUGUGAAUCUCAUCAUAGCACAACUCCCACAUUGCAGUAGACUGGGUAUGGCAAGUAUUGGAAGCUGUAUUGCGGAAAGGUCCCUAGCAGGAUUAUAACUGGAAUUUACUUGUAGUAAAUUGUGGAUCUUUUAAUAUUUUGAUAUUGUUGAGGAUUCACUUGCAAUUGAUCUAUCAAAUAAAUGCUGCCUCUAUUUUUGU